CAUCCCUGUGACGAAUGCUAUGCAAUUAAAAGUAGUGGACUGACUCGUAUUGAUGAAAAAAAAGACUCCGAGGGAUG
rnacentral:snoRNA from 1 species